AACGAUGAAGCCCUUCGGGGUGGAUUAGUGGCGAACGGGUGAGUAACACGUGGGCAAUCUGCCCUUCACUCUGGGACAAGCCCUGGAAACGGGGUCUAAUACCGGAUAACACUUCCGUCCUCCUGGACGGUGGUUAAAAGCUCCGGCGGUGAAGGAUGAGCCCGCGGCCUAUCAGCUUGUUGGUGAGGUAAUGGCUCACCAAGGCGACGACGGGUAGCCGGCCUGAGAGGGCGACCGGCCACACUGGGACUGAGACACGGCCCAGACUCCUACGGGAGGCAGCAGUGGGGAAUAUUGCACAAUGGGCGAAAGCCUGAUGCAGCGACGCCGCGUGAGGGAUGACGGCCUUCGGGUUGUAAACCUCUUUCAGCAGGGAAGAAGCGAAAGUGACGGUACCUGCAGAAGAAGCGCCGGCUAACUACGUGCCAGCAGCCGCGGUAAUACGUAGGGCGCAAGCGUUGUCCGGAAUUAUUGGGCGUAAAGAGCUCGUAGGCGGCUUGUCACGUCGGUUGUGAAAGCCCGGGGCUUAACCCCGGGUCUGCAGUCGAUACGGGCAGGCUAGAGUGUGGUAGGGGAGAUCGGAAUUCCUGGUGUAGCGGUGAAAUGCGCAGAUAUCAGGAGGAACACCGGUGGCGAAGGCGGAUCUCUGGGCCAUUACUGACGCUGAGGAGCGAAAGCGUGGGGAGCGAACAGGAUUAGAUACCCUGGUAGUCCACGCCGUAAACGGUGGGAACUAGGUGUUGGCGACAUUCCACGUCGUCGGUGCCGCAGCUAACGCAUUAAGUUCCCCGCCUGGGGAGUACGGCCGCAAGGCUAAAA
rnacentral:rRNA from 1 species